UACGGAGGGUGCAAGCGUUGUCCGGAUUUAUUGGGUUUAAAGGGUGCGUAGGCGGCCCGUUAAGUCAGUGGUGAAAGCCUCCAGCUCAACUGGAGAACUGCCAUUGAUACUGACGGGCUUGAGUACAGACGAGGUUGGCGGAAUUGAUUGUGUAGCGGUGAAAUACUUAGAUAUCGUCAAGAACACCGAUAGUGUAGACAGCUUACUAGGCUACAACUGACGCUGAGGCACGAAAGUGUGGGGAUCAAACAGG
rnacentral:rRNA from 1 species